rnacentral:rRNA from 1 species
GACGAACGCUGGCGGCGUGCUUAACACGUGCAAGUCGAACGGAAAGGCCCUGCUUGCAGGGUACUCGAGUGGCGAACGGGUGAGUAACACGUGGGUGAUCUGCCCUGCACUUCGGGAUAAGCCUGGGAAACUGGGUCUAAUACCGGAUAGGAGCCAUUUUUAGUGUGAUGGUUGGAAAGUUUUUUCGGUGUAGGAUGAGCUCGCGGCCUAUCAGCUUGUUGGUGGGGUAAUGGCCUACCAAGGCGGCGACGGGUAGCCGGCCUGAGAGGGUGGACGGCCACAUUGGGACUGGGAUACGGCCCAGACUCCUACGGGAGGCAGCAGUGGGGAAUAUUGCACAAUGGGCGCAAGCCUGAUGCAGCGACGCCGCGUGGGGGAUGACGGCCUUCGGGUUGUAAACUCCUUUCGCUAGGGACGAAGCUUUUUGUGACGGUACCUAGAUAAGAAGCACCGGCUAACUACGUG